GUGGGGAAUAUUGGACAAUGGGGGGAACCCUGAUCCAGCCAUGCCGCGUGUGUGAAGAAGGUCUUCGGAUUGUAAAGCACUUUAAGUUGGGAGGAAGGGCAGUAAGUUAAUACCUUGCUGUUUUGACGUUACCGACAGAAUAAGCACCGGCUAACUUCGUGCCAGCAGCCGCGGUAAUACGAAGGGUGCAAGCGUUAAUCGGAAUUACUGGGCGUAAAGCGCGCGUAGGUGGUUUUGUAAGUUGGAGGUGAAAUCCCCGGGCUCUACCUCGGAACUGCCUCCAAAACUGCAUGACUAGAGUACGGUAGAGGGUAGUGGAAUUUCCUGUGUAGCGGUGAAAUGCGUAGAUAUAGGAAGGAACACCAGUGGCGAAGGCGACUACCUGGACUGAUACUGACACUGAGGUGCGAAAGCGUGGGGAGCAAACAGGAUUAGAAACCCGGGUAGUCC
rnacentral:rRNA from 1 species